rnacentral:rRNA from 1 species
UGGGGAAUAUUGCACAAUGGGGGAAAUCCUGAUGCAGCGACGCCGCGUGAGCGAAGAAGUAUUUCGGUAUGUAAAGCUCUAUCAGCAGGGAAGAUAAUGACGGUACCUGACUAAGAAGCACCGGCUAAAUACGUGCCAGCAGCCGCGGUAAUACGUAUGGUGCAAGCGUUAUCCGGAUUUACUGGGUGUAAAGGGAGCGCAGGCGGUGCGGCAAGUCUGAUGUGAAAGCCCGGGGCUCAACCCCGGUACUGCAUUGGAAACUGUCGUACUAGAGUGUCGGGG